GUCAAAAGAUGUGUGCAAAGAUAAAUGUACACACAGUGGGAGCUCAUUGUUUAGCCUUUGCCACUCAUCUGUCCAUGAGUGCUCUCUCCGUCUACCAAUCUCUCAAUCUGAAUGCAGAUAUACAGAUUGAACUCGGGUCCUUGCGCUUGCACAGCAGGCGGCGAAACCACUGAGCUAAACCCCCGGCCCAGUUACUUAACAUUUCUGAUCCUCUAGUUCCUCAUCUGGAAGAGGAAUUGAGAUAAUAAAUGCAGAAUUGCCUUCUCUCUAGUUGGUGAAAUAACAAGACCCAUUCCAUUUGCUGGAGAAAUUGGAAAGAGAUUGCAGUAGGUUGAAUGGUGGUCUGUGCCUGAUUCCUGGAACCUGUAAAUAUAAUCUUCUUUGGAAAAAUCAACUUUGCGGACGUAACUAAAUUAAGGAUCUUGACAUAAGAUCAUCCUGGAUUGUCAAGGUGAACCCUAAAUCCAAUGUCAAGAUACACACAGAGGAGAACACACACGCAUAGAGGAGACAGUGAUGGGAAAGAUGGAGGUGGAGAUCAGAGUGACGUGACUACAAGUUGAGAAAUUCAAAGGAUUUCUGACAGCCCCCAGAAGUUGGGAGAGGCAUGGAAUGAGUUAUGAUCAGAGCCCCCGAGGGAGCCUGGCUCCAAGCACAAAAGUGGACUUUUAGCUCCAGAACUGUGAGAGAAUAAAUUUUUGUGGUUUUAAGCCACUGAGUUUGUGGUAAUUUGUUAUGACAGCCCUAGGAAACUUAUACAAGAGAGAACUUUGGCAAACUGAUACAUGGAAGCUUGUAUGAAUUCAACUGGACAUGACUGUAGCCAUCUGGAGUCAUAACAACCAUGAGUUCCCCAGGUAACCUUAGCAGGCGUUCCUGUGUAGUUUCCUAGCAAACCAUGCCUGACUCUUCAGCCUCUACCCUCUUCUCCCCUCCUCUUCCCUCCCCACCUCCCUUGCCCUUCCCUCCUCACCUCUCUUUUCCUCUUUACUGAGGACUGGACCUAGGGCCUUCACACUGAGCUACAUUCCCAGCCCUUUUUUCUGUUUUUUAUUUGAGAAAUGGUCUUGUUAAUUUGUCAAAUCAUCCAGGUUGGGCUUGAACUUGUAAUUCUCCCGUCUUAGCCUUGCAAAGUGCUGGGAUUACACAUGAGUGCCACCAAGCCUGGCCUCAACGUUGUAAGAUAAACCUGCAUUCCAACCAGGAUGAAGUCACUUUUGUUCCAACCCACGAGUAGGCCCUCCUUCCAGGACUAUCUUUUGUAAGUUCCCCAAUAAAUUGUACUCUGAGCAAUGCUGCAUCUGUCUGCCUCUCUUAGGUCUAAUGUGAUAGCUCCUUGGGUUCUGUUCUUAUUCAUUAGAACC
rnacentral:lncRNA from 1 species